rnacentral:rRNA from 1 species
AUGCUGUCCACGUUUAGGAGGAAGCUCGGUGCAAUGCCCGUCAAACUAGUCGGCGUUGAUGUCGAGUACACACACUACGAGAAGCCACAGCGUGCAGCGGUACUACAGCUAUGCGUAGAAAAAGAAUGCCUUGUCUACCACAUAUCUGCAGCUAAAGACAGGCCAAUGGAACUAGACAAAUUCCUGAUGAAUGAUGAGUACACCUUCGUCGGAUUCGCUAUUGAAGGAGACAAAAGCAAGCUGAAGGUAUCUGGUUUGGAGAUCAACUCCAACAACUACAUUGAUAUUCAAGUUGAAUGGAGAGACCCAUACAAUAAAAAGAAGUUUGACUCUUUGGCUGAUGUUGCUGGCAGGAUGAUAGACAUUCACUACAAUGACAUGAAGAAAAAAAUUAACCGCAAGGAGGAUCAUACUCUGUGGGUAUUUUGCCCGCUGCCAAACAAGCUUAUCAAGUAUGCAGCAAUAGAUGCAUUCGCAACAUAUGAGUCAUGGAGAAUCAUCUACGAUGUCAUAAUGGGACUAGACAGGGCAAAAAGAGACAAAGAAGAAAAGAAGAAGAAGAACAAGACUGUAAUCCAACACAGCAACUAG